CCUGCCUCUAGAAGCUGUGUAGGUGUGGCUGCUGUAUCACAUGUAAAGUAGGUAGCAGAGGGGAUAGAGGCUAUGUCUACCCUCUGUGUUCUGACCUAUGAACAUCUGAAUGAUUGAAAUCCUAGCAUU